UUAAGUUAUUAAGGGCGCACGGUGGAUGCCUUGGCACUAGAAGCCGAUGAAGGACGUUACUAACGACGAUAUGCUUUGGGGAGCUGUAAGUAAGCUUUGAUCCAGAGAUUUCCGAAUGGGGAAACCCAGCAUGAGUUAUGUCAUGUUAUCGAUAUGUGAAUACAUAGCAUAUCAGAAGGCACACCCGGAGAACUGAAACAUCUUAGUACCCGGAGGAAGAGAAAGAAAAUUCGAUUCCCUUAGUAGCGGCGAGCGAAACGGGAAGAGCCCAAACCAACAAGCUUGCUUGUUGGGGUUGUAGGACACUCUAUACGGAGUUACAAAGGACGACAUUAGACGAAUCAUCUGGAAAGAUGAAUCAAAGAAGGUAAUAAUCCUGUAGUCGAAAAUGUUGUCUCUCUUGAGUGGAUCCUGAGUACGACGGAGCACGUGAAAUUCCGUCGGAAUCUGGGAGGACCAUCUCCUAAGGCUAAAUACUCUCUAGUGACCGAUAGUGAACCAGUACCGUGAGGGAAAGGUGAAAAGCACCCCGGAAGGGGAGUGAAAUAGAACCUGAAACCGUGUGCUUACAAGUAGUCAGAGCCCGUUAAUGGGUGAUGGCGUGCCUUUUGUAGAAUGAACCGGCGAGUUACGAUUUGAUGGCAGGUUAACCAGUAAAUGUGGAACCCUAAUGAAUGCGAGUCUGAAUAGGGCGUUUAGUAUUUGGUCGUAGACCCGAAACCAGGUGAUCUACCCUUGGUCAGGUUGAAGUUCAGGUAACACUGAAUGGAGGACCGAACCGACUUACGUUGAAAAGUGAGCGGAUGAACUGAGGGUAGCGGAGAAAUUCCAAUCGAACCUGGAGAUAGCUGGUUCUCUCCGAAAUAGCUUUAGGGCUAGCCUCAAGUGAUGAUUAUUGGAGGUAGAGCACUGUUUGGACGAGGGGCCCCUCUCGGGUUACCGAAUUCAGACAAACUCCGAAUGCCAAUUAAUUUAACUUGGGAGUCAGAACAUGGGUGAUAAGGUCCGUGUUCGAAAGGGAAACAGCCCAGACCACCAGCUAAGGUCCCAAAAUAUAUGUUAAGUGGAAAAGGAUGUGGCGUUGCCCAGACAACUAGGAUGUUGGCUUAGAAGCAGCCAUCAUUUAAAGAGUGCGUAAUAGCUCACUACCCGAGUGACACUGCGCCGAAAAUGUACCGGGGCUAAACAUAUUACCGAAGCUGUGGAUUGUCCUUUGGACAAUGGUAGGAGAGCGUUCUAAGGGCGUUGAAGCAUGAUCGUAAGGACAUGUGGAGCGCUUAGAAGUGAGAAUGCCGGUGUGAGUAGCGAAAGACGGGUGAGAAUCCCGUCCACCGAUUGACUAAGGUUUCCAGAGGAAGGCUCGUCCGCUCUGGGUUAGUCGGGUCCUAAGCUGAGGCCGACAGGCGUAGGCGAUGGAUAACAGGUUGAUAUUCCUGUACCACCUAUAAUCGUUUUAAUCGAUGGGGGGACGCAGUAGGAUAGGCGAAGCCUGCGAUUGGAUUGCACGUCUAAGCAGUAAGGCUGAGUAUUAGGCAAAUCCGGUACUCGUUAAGGCUGAGCUGUGAUGGGGAGAAGACAUUGUGUCUUCGAGUCGUUGAUUUCACACUGCCGAGAAAAGCCUCUAGAUAGAAAAUAGGUGCCCGUACCGCAAACCGACGCAGGUAGUCAAGAUGAGAAUUCUAAGGUGAGCGAGCGAACUCUCGUUAAGGAACUUGGCAAAAUGACCCCGUAACUUCGGGAGAAGGGGUGCUCUUUAGGGUUAACGCCCAGAAGAGCCGCAGUGAAUAGGCCCAAGCGACUGUUUAUCAAAAACACAGGUCUCUGCUAAACCGUAAGGUGAUGUAUAGGGGCUGACGCCUGCCCGGUGCUGGAAGGUUAAGAGGAGUGGUUAGCUUCUGCGAAGCUACGAAUCGAAGCCCCAGUAAACGGCGGCCGUAACUAUAACGGUCCUAAGGUAGCGAAAUUCCUUGUCGGGUAAGUUCCGACCCGCACGAAAGGCGUAACGAUUUGGGCACUGUCUCAACGAGAGACUCGGUGAAAUCAUAGUACCUGUGAAGAUGCAGGUUACCCGCGACAGGACGGAAAGACCCCGUGGAGCUUUACUGUAGCCUGAUAUUGAAAUUCGGCACAGCUUGUACAGGAUAGGUAGGAGCCUUUGAAACGUGAGCGCUAGCUUACGUGGAGGCGCUGGUGGGAUACUACCCUAGCUGUGUUGGCUUUCUAACCCGCACCACUUAUCGUGGUGGGAGACAGUGUCAGGCGGGCAGUUUGACUGGGGCGGUCGCCUCCUAAAAGGUAACGGAGGCGCUCAAAGGUUCCCUCAGAAUGGUUGGAAAUCAUUCAUAGAGUGUAAAGGCAUAAGGGAGCUUGACUGCGAGACCUACAAGUCGAGCAGGGUCGAAAGACGGACUUAGUGAUCCGGUGGUUCCGCAUGGAAGGGCCAUCGCUCAACGGAUAAAAGCUACCCCGGGGAUAACAGGCUUAUCUCCCCCAAGAGUUCACAUCGACGGGGAGGUUUGGCACCUCGAUGUCGGCUCAUCGCAUCCUGGGGCUGUAGUCGGUCCCAAGGGUUGGGCUGUUCGCCCAUUAAAGCGGUACGCGAGCUGGGUUCAGAACGUCGUGAGACAGUUCGGUCCCUAUCCGUCGUGGGCGUAGGAAAUUUGAGAGGAGCUGUCCUUAGUACGAGAGGACCGGGAUGGACAUACCUCUGGUGUACCAGUUGUCGUGCCAACGGCAUAGCUGGGUAGCUAUGUGUGGACGGGAUAAGUGCUGAAAGCAUCUAAGCAUGAAGCCCCCCUCAAGAUGAGAUUUCCCAACUUCGGUUAUAAGAUCCCUCAAAGAUGAUGAGGUUAAUAGGUUCGAGGUGGAAGCAUGGUGACAUGUGGAGCUGACGAAUACUAAUCGAUCGAAGACUUAAUCAA
rnacentral:rRNA from 1 species